AAAUGUUUAUACGUCUAGCACACCUGCUAGACUGUUAUGUUCUCUGGUGGAAGAAUGGUGCAUUGGUCACUCUUACUUCCUAAGGGCCCACAUCUGGUAUAUACCUUGCUGUAACAAAUAUUUUUUUGAUUUGGCCUCAUCUGUGAGGAAACUAUGCCAUGUGCAGGAUAAGUGAUAACUGUGAACGAGAUUAACCAGAAUAUCAUGAGAAGUUUUGGAAAGCUCCACAUUUGUUGCCACCUGCCCUGUAUCUACUGAUAUUGCCAAACAGAAAGGGAUGAAGGAGAGGAUAGGACUUUUCCUCUAUGAAUGGCUGGAAGGACACACUCUCACUCAGCUUACCUGGUAGCAACUUUGUGACUGCAGAAUCCUGUGCUGCCGAAUAGCUGCUGCUUCUGUAUGGGCCAGAGUAAAAUCUCACUGGCGUGGGAAAGGUGCCGCCAGGCUCCUUGGGGCAGGGAUGUUAUCCUUGUCACAGCUGGAAAAGAUGUCAGUUCUUCCUGCUGGCUCUCUUCCCAGAGAUGUGGACAUUCCCAAGAUGUUCUCUCUCCAGUGGCAGCAGAAGGGGCUGCCCUAUGACCGACAGACAUGACUGUUCUCAAAGCAACAUUCUUUGCAGGCUCUGUGGAUUAUCAUCUGUACCACAUGAAAAGCUGUGUCCUUUCAGGAGCCCUACUUCUAUUUGCACUUUUCCUCUGUAUUUGCAUAUUACUUGUUCACAGUUUGUUUCAAGAACAAGUAUUUUAUCACAUUCUUUUUUGUCUAGCAGUUCAUUUCUUUCAAUUAAUAUUAUUUUGUUACACAAGUAAUUCAUGUUCACUACAGAAAAUAGUAAACCAUGCAUGUAAGAAAGUAAAACUCAUUCUUAAGUCUACCAUCUAGAGAAAGCUGCAGUUGACAUUUCUUUUGUAUAGAACCAACCAGAAAUUUUAUGCAUAUGACUGAAAUAUGUAUUUAUAUAAAGGUAGGUUUUCUAUACACAUCUUAGUUACCUGAUUUUUUUCUCAAAAAUAUACUGUUAACAUUGUCUCCAUGUCAAUAAAGAUACAA